rnacentral:rRNA from 1 species
AAACAGGUGCUAAUACCGCAUAACCAUAGUUACCGCAUGGUAACUAUGUAAAAGGUGGCUAUACUACCGCUUUUGGAUGGGCCCGCGGCGCAUUAGCUAGUUGGUAGGGUAAAGGCUUACCAAGGCAAUGAUGCGUAGCCGAAUUGAGAGGUUGAUCGGCCACAUUGGGACUGAGACACGGCCCAAACUCCUACGGGAGGCAGCAGUAGGGAAUCUUCCACAAUGGGCGAAAGCCUGAUGGAGCAACGCCGCGUGGGUGAAGAAGGUCUUCGGAUCGUAAAACCCUGUUGUUAGAGAAGAAAGUGCGUGAGAGUAACUGUUCACGUUUCGACGGUAUCUAACCAGAAAGCCACGGCUAACUACGUGCCAGCAGCCGCGGUAAUACGUAGGUGGCAAGCGUUAUCCGGAUUUAUUGGGCGUAAAGGGAACGCAGGCGGUCUUUUAAGUCUGAUGUGAAAGCCUUCGGCUUAACCGGAGUAGUGCAUUGGAAACUGGGAGACUUGAGUGCAGAAGAGGAGAGUGGAACUCCAUGUGUAGCGGUGAAAUGCGUAGAUAUAUGGAAGAACACCAGUGGCGAAAGCGGCUCUCUGGUCUGUAACUGACGCUGAGGUUCGAAAGCGUGGGUAGCAAACAGGAUUAGAUACCCUGGUAGUCCACGCCGUAAACGAUGCCUGAAAGGUGUUGGAG